rnacentral:rRNA from 1 species
GACGGAGGAUGCAAGCGUUAUCCGGAAUGAUUGGGCGUAAAGCGUCCGCAGGUGGCAGUUCAAGUCUGCUGUCAAAGACCGGGGCUUAACUUCGGAAAGGCAGUGGAAACUGAACAGCUAGAGUAUGGUAGGGGCAGAGGGAAUUCCUGGUGUAGCGGUGAAAUGCGUAGAUAUCAGGAAGAACAUCGGUGGCGAAGGCGCUCUGCUGGACCAUAACUGACACUGAGGGACGAAAGCUAGGGGAGCGAAUGGG